ensembl:snRNA U1 U1 spliceosomal RNA
AUACUUACCUGGCAGGGGAGAUACCAUGAUCACGAAGGUGGUUUUCCCAGGGUGAGGCUCAUCCAUUGCACUGCGGGUGUGCUGACCCCUGCGAUUUCCCCAAAUGCGGGAAACUCGACUGCAUAUUUUGUGGUAGUGGGGGACUGCGUUCGCGCUCUCCCCUG